rnacentral:rRNA from 1 species
AUUAUUAAGAGUUAAAUAUUGUUAGUAUUUAUAAAAUAUGAAAACAAAAAAUUAUGGCGGUAUUUUAAGCUUUUCAGAGGAAUUUGCUCUUUAAUGGAUAAAACACCAAAAUCUUACUAGAAUUAGUGAAGCAGUUUGUAUACCACUAUUUAAGUAAUAUUUUACCAUUAUUACUAAAAUUUAAAUAAAUAAAAAAAGUUAAGUCAAGGUGCAGCUUAAGUUUUAGUAUGAAGUGAAUUACAUUACUUAAAAGUGAAAAAAUUGAAAAAGUAAUUAGGAUUUGAAAGUAAAAUUUCAAUAGAAAGGAAAUUUGAAUAAAGCUCUAAAAUAUGUAC